rnacentral:lncRNA from 1 species
GUUUCCUACAUAAAUGAGACUUGGAGGAAUUAGCAGUAACACUUUGUUGUCGGAAUUAAGGUCGUAACUCAGAAGCUGAUAUCGGGGUUUUUGAGGAUUAUUUCUGGUGAGGGUCUCCUGCAUAUCCGACCGGGUUAGACGUUCCAUUAUGAGUUUAUUAUUAUUAAAGGCCAUAUGCAUGAUAGGGUAACGACCGUUCAAUGCUAAGAUUAUAUAUGCUUCUUUACCCUAUUUAUGACUUAAUAUGAAUACAUGAUUUGUUACUUUGCUAUGAUACAUGUUCUGUUACUUUGCUGAUAUAUCUGAUUUAAUAUAUGUGUUAAUAUGAGCUGUAGCUAUUAUUGAUUAUUGAAUAAAUCUGGUAAUUGAUUGAUCACCUAGUUAGGACCCGUAUGCUGGAGAUUAUGCUUAUUGCACUUCUGUUACGCAGUGGGUCUUGGUAAGCGCCACAACUAACUAUUGUCGUGGCCUUUGAUAAGCGCCACACUAAUUCUACGUGGGCCAUUUUAGUGCCACUAACUCUACGUGGGUCGUCAGCAUAUGUGAGCCGGGAUCCCAAAUAAAAUAUGGAUAUAAAUUAGAUUAUAGAAUUAGCCUUAUGUGUUAUAUGAUGUAUACUUUCUAUAUGAUUAUUUGUACCUUAGAGUGACGAGGACAAAGAUCCUCACUUAGUGAUUACCACUGACCCUUACUUUCCAUUUCAGAGCAACAGUAGGCUUUACUGUGUCACACACUGCAAAAUGGUAUCAUCGAGCUCCGGGGUCGGUCAUCAUGGUGACGACGCCAGGUAGAUAUCGAAGAUUGUGUCUUGAUCCUCGUUUUGUAUUUAAAGUUUGUUUGCGACUCUUACUUCCAUCAUGUGCAUAUGUUAUGAGUGGUUGGGUACUAGUACAAUGUGAGAUAUGGUUUUAUAAAAUAUAGUGGCCUUGAGGGCAAGUAUAUGGUUACUCUGGUCCGAGCCUGUGAAGCUCGAG